AUUGAACGCUGGCGGCAGGCCUAACACAUGCAAGUCGAGCGGAGCGGCGGACGGGUGAGUAAUGCCUAGGAAUCUGCCUGGUAGUGGGGGAUAACGUCCGGAAACGGGCGAUAAUACCGCAUACUAUCAGAUAAGCCUAGGAAGGAUUAGCCAGUUGGUGGGGUAAAGGCCUACCAAGGCGACGAUCCGUAACUGGUAUGCGAGGUUGAUCAGUCACCCUGGAACUGAGACACGGUCCAGACUCCGACGCGAGGCAGCAGAGGUGAAUAUUGGACAAUGGGCGAAAGCCUGGUCCGGUCAUGCCGCGUGUGUGAAAAAGGUCUUCGGAUUGUAAAGCACUUUAAGUUGGGAGGCGUUACCAACAGAAUAAGCACCGGCUAACUUCGUGCCAGCAGCCGCGGUAAUAC
rnacentral:rRNA from 1 species